rnacentral:rRNA from 1 species
AUGGGGCUACCGCUGCCGUCGGGCGGGGAGAUGGCGGCGCAGCUGCUCAUGUACCUGCUUGUGGAGGACUAUCUCAGCUACUGGGUCCACCGGCUGAUGCACACCAAGUGGUGCUACGACAACAUCCACCACGUCCACCAUGAGAUCACUGCACCCAACGGCUUCGCCGCGCCAUACACGCACUGGACCGAGCUGCUCAUCAUCGUCGUCCCACCGUCGUCGGCCCGGUCAUCGCGCCGUGCCACAUGA